UGGCACAGCCGAGAUGUCGGGUCCACGGGUCUGGUAGCCCAGUGGAGUUUUUGAGGCAGGUGAUGGCAGUGCCCCA